ACGAAAACGUAGAUGGGAAGAAGUACAAAGCGGGAAACUUAAAGAGAGAGUCCGGUGAGCUGGGAAGGACUUAGUGAAACGACUUUGGAAAUGCAUCCUGGAGUUCUUGCGGGAAAUGAAGUAUCGCAAGACGGCGCAGGUCGUUAAAACUAGUGAUGAGGUGGGGCUUUUUAAGCUCAAUCAGAGUGGAACCGCGCAAGGCGUCUCUGUU
rnacentral:ncRNA from 1 species